UUUGCUGGAGAGGCCUCGGCUACGAUGUAGUUUUGCUGGAUGCUGUUUUUAAGAUUAAGUGUUUUUCCGGUGUCGUUCAAACACACUCUACAAUUAUUUUACUAAUGUGAAAGCUACAGAAGCCAGUGGCACAAUGGAACAAGACUUUCCAUGGACGGAGGAGCAAACCUUCUGCUUCAUCCAAGCCCGAGCACGAUUGAAGACGAGUUCCAAUGGAGCUCCUGACUAUCUGUAUCAGUCUGUGAUUGAUGAACUGGGUCUAACUGGUCAGAUCAGUCCUGCACAAGCAAGGAGGCACUGGGAUGCUUUAGUCACCAGGUACAAGG